UCAAACUUGGUCAUUUAGAGGAAGUAAAAGUCGUAACAAGGUUUCUGUAGGCAAACCUGCAGAAGGAUCAUUAACGUACCUCUGACGGUGAGGGUGCGCCCUGCUCCGGCUCUGACGGCCGUGCAGCGGGUGCGCCUGAGCCACUCAACCCUUUGCAAACCCACCGUGCACCUUUGUUGGCGGAGGGCCCAGCGCCCUGAGCCGGUUUCACAAACAAAGAGCAAAGAAUGAACCAGUGGACAGAGCGCCACCUAGACUAAUAACAACUUUCAACAACGGAUCUCUUGGCUCUCACAUCGAUGAAGAACGCAGC
rnacentral:misc_RNA from 1 species